rnacentral:lncRNA from 1 species
CUUUCCCUUCCUUGCCCUUCUCACUUUUCAUUCUCUCCAAAAGGGUAAAAGUUUGAUGCUAUUGCUUGUUUUGCUUUAAAAGAAUAUGUAUAAGGUGGAAGAUGUUUGAAACAGCAAACUAGUGGUACUUUAUUACUAAUUUCACUUUGUUCAGGUGCUGGAGUAUAUAAAAUGUAUUACUCUCAAUGCACUGGGCUGUAAGAGUUCAGGGCAGCAGCUACCUGAUGCCAUCCCAACUCAAUAUCUCCCUCCUUUCCCAUAGAGAUGUCCCUGAGGCUGUUUAGCCCUGAACCACAGCAUACAACCCCACCUCACCUCACCUCAAGACUACAUUUUGGGAGCCAGCACAGCAGGAUGUAUAGCUUCAUGGCAGCUGUUUAAUUUUCCAGGGAGUAUUACAUCAUCCUUCUCAGAAGCUUGUGUCUGCCAGCCAGCUGCCAUUUUGUGGAGCAGUGUUGAUACAGUGUGCUGUGGAAGAAGCAAAACCUUCAUGCUCUCAGAGAAGAUGCUAUUUUUGGUUCUUCUCUUCCUUUUUUGUUCACCUAUGCUAAAAAACUAUAGCUAUUCAAACUGACUGCCUCUGCCUCUUGAAAGUAUGGGGAAAAAAAAGUUUUCUUUCUCAGGUAGGAGGAAUUUCACAGCAUGAAGGUGCUUCUUCCAGUAGGUGAAUGGGUAGUACGUCACCACCCUAGCUCUGUGAUGUCAGCACAACAGGGAACACUGACACUUUCUAACAUCAUGGCCAUAAGAGGAACUGAUGCAGGUCCAAGUAGAAAGAACAUCACUAGAAAAAGUUAAGGUGUGAAAACUGGAUUUGGCAGAGAAGGAGCAAUGAUUUUACAAUCAAUAGGGACAGCAGGAACUGUCAGACAAGAGGCUCAUUACACAAUAAAACGGCCCAACCUACAAGACUGGUACAAAAUUCAGGAAGACAAAGUUGAAAGCUUCCUGAAUUUUCAUUCAAUACUUCCCUCUCCUUUUCAACUCUGGGGGAGAAAUUCACAGCCAGAGGAAAGUUCAGACAUAAACUUUGUGCCUUCUGCUUGUUUCUCACUGCAUUCCACCACACAUCACAGAAGGAGUACACUGUGCCUAUGAAGGACCGAUGAGUACAAGGGAAACUUGGAGAAGUCCCAAACUCCCAACUGCAUCAAACAAAUCAUGGAGACUGUAGAGGUAGGUGGCUCCCCUGCUGUUUUUGCACCAGCACUUGUGGGCUUUUAAUACUGGAAACAACACUUUCACCCAUGUCAUCACUUAACAGUAUAAUA